UAGCAUAUCAAUAAGCGGAGGAAAAGAAACCAACAGGGAUUACCUCAGUAACGGCGAGUGAAGCGGUAACAGCUCAAAUUUGAAAUCUGGCCUCACGGUCCGAGUUGUAAUUUGUAGAGGAUGCUUCGAGCAUGGUCUGGCCUAAGUUCCUUGGAACAGGACGUCAUAGAGGGUGAGAAUCCCGUAUGCGGCCAGGUGCCUACGCUCAUGUGAAGCUCCUUCGACGAGUCGAGUUGUUUGGGAAUGCAGCUCAAAAUGGGUGGUAAAUUUCAUCUAAAGCUAAAUAUUGGCCAGAGACCGAUAGCGCACAAGUAGAGUGAUCGAAAGAUGAAAAGCACUUUGGAAAGAGAGUUAAACAGUACGUGAAAUUGUUGAAAGGGAAGCGCUUGCAACCAGACUUGCGCGCGGCCGAUCAUCCGGUGUUCUCACCGGUGCACUCGGCCGUGCUCAGGCCAGCAUCGGUUUUGGCGGCUGGAUAAAGGCCCUAGGAAUGUGGCUCCUCUCGGGGAGUGUUAUAGCCUAGGGUGCAAUGCAGCCUGCUGGGACCGAGGACCGCGCUUCGGCUAGGAUGCUGGCGUAAUGGUUGUAAGCGGCCCGUCUUGAAACACGGACCAAGGAGUCUAACAUCUAUGCGAGUGUUUGGGUGUCAAACCCAUACGCGUAAUGAAAGUGAACGGAGGUGAGAACCCUUAAGGGUGCAUCAUCGACCGAUCCUGAUGUCUUCGGAAGGAUUUGAGUAAGAGCAUAGCUGUUGGGACCCGAAAGAUGGUGAACUAUGCCUGAAUAGGGUGAAGCCAGAGGAAACUCUGGUGGAGGCUCGCAGCGGUUUCUGACGUGCAAAUCGAUCGUCAAAUUUGGGUAUAGGGGCGAAAGACUAAUCGAACCAUCUAGUAGCUGGUUCCUGC
rnacentral:rRNA from 1 species